UCUUGACCUCAGAUCAGGCAAGGCUACCCGCUGAAUUUAG
rnacentral:rRNA from 1 species